GCGGAUGUGGCGGAAUUGGCAGACGCGCCGGACUUAGGAUCCGUUGCCCUAGGGCGUGAGGGUUCGACUCCCUCCAUCCGCACCA
rnacentral:tRNA from 1 species